rnacentral:lncRNA from 1 species
UACAGGCCGUGAAAACGAGCUCAUCGUCGACAAAAAUGUGAACAUCCAAGGACUGUCCAAGGUGCGGAUCAAAGACUUACAAGAAGGAGUCAUUUUCGGAAACUUGGACUCGGUAUUUUCCCGCAUGCUACUUCAAAUGGGUCGGCUCCUCCCCCGCGCCACCGCAGUUUUUAUGAACUGCUUCGAAGAACUCGACCUCCCCGUAACAAACGACCUAAAGUUCAAAUUCAACAAACUCCUCAACGUAGGACCUUCCAACGUAGCAUCCCGGCUGCCACCGCUGCCGCCAUCAGACGCUUUGAUCUUGUCGUGGCUUGACAAGCAAGACGCUCCAUCCUCCGUCGU